CAUGAUCGGUUGAGCAAUGUCACAUGUUUAAUUUAAAUGAACAUUUUAUUUUGGUUACACGCUGAAUAUCAUUUGGAUCGUGGGCUUCCAGCGCUUGCUCUUUCCACCUCCACGCUUGGCCCACUAACACACUUCCAUCCUAUUUUCAUUUUCUCUUUUUAAUUUCAUUUUUAUUUUCUGCCUUGGGUUGUUUUUAAUUAAUAAAAAAUAUUUUACUUAUUCAUAAAAAUACCAAAAAAUAUUUUUCACAUUCCUUAAUGUUUUAUUUAAUUUAUUUAAUUUUUAUUUUCA
rnacentral:lncRNA from 1 species